rnacentral:rRNA from 1 species
GACGAACCGUGCGAACGUUAUUCGGAAUCACUGGGCUUAAAGCGCGUGUAGGCGGGCCGCCACGUCGGGCGCUGAAAUCCCCCGGCUCAACCGGGGAACGGGCACCGAUACGAGCGGCCUGGAGGGGAGUAGGGGGACCUGGAACUUCCGGUGGAGCGGUGAAAUGCGUAGAUAUCGUAAGGAACGCCAGUGGCGAAAGCGAAUCUCUGGGCAGCAACUGACGCUGAGGCACGAAGGUCAGGGGA